AGCUCCAAUAGCGUAUAUUAAAGUUGUUGCAGUUAAAAAGCUCGUAGUUGAACUGCUGACAAGCAAUGUGUAUAGUAGUAACUAGCUUUGCUAGUCUCUAUACACUUGCUAUGUCAUAUUUGAGUAUUGCUAGUAUCACAUUGAUUUGUGGUGCUAGUUAGUGCUCAUCCUUUACUGUGAGAAAAUUAGAGUGUUCAAAGCAGGCAAUUGCCAAUGAAUAUAUUAGCAUGGAAUAAUAACAUAUGAUUUUGUCGUUCACAUUUUAUUGGUUUGUAAUGUUGCAAAAUAAUGAUUGACAGGGACAAUUGGGGGUAUUUGUAUUCCAGAGUCAGAGGUGAAAUUCUUGGAUUUUUGGAAGACAAGCUACUGCGAAAGCAUCUACCAAGGAUGUUUUCU
rnacentral:rRNA from 1 species